UAUAGAUCAGUGGCUGAGCGAGCGCGCGGGGGUGCUUGGCCCCCGCGCGCUCGCUCUCUUAGCCACUGAUCUAUAUA